AUUGAACGCUGGCGGCAGGCCUAACACAUGCAAGUCGAGCGGAUGAAGGGAGCUUGCUCCCUGAUUCAGCGGCGGACGGGUGAGUAAUGCCUAGGAAUCUGCCUGGUAGUGGGGGACAACGUUUCGAAAGGAACGCUAAUACCGCAUACGUCCUACGGGAGAAAGCAGGGGACCUUAGGGCCUUGCGCUAUCAGAUGAGCCUAGGUCGGAUUAGCUAGUUGGUGAGGUAAUGGCUCACCAAGGCUGCGAUCCGUAACUGGUCUGAGAGGAUGAUCAGUCACACUGGAACUGAGACACGGUCCAGACUCCUACGGGAGGCAGCAGUGGGGAAUAUUGGACAAUGGGCGAAAGCCUGAUCCAGCCAUGCCGCGUGUGUGAAGAAGGUCUUCGGAUUGUAAAGCACUUUAAGUUGGGAGGAAGGGCAGUAAGUUAAUACCUUGCUGUUGACGUACCGACAGAUAGC
rnacentral:rRNA from 1 species